UAAGACGAACCGUGCGAACGUUGUUCGGAAUCACUGGGCUUAAAGGGCGCGUAGGCGGGCGUGCAGGCCCGCGGUGAAAUCCCCCGGCUCAACCGGGGAAGGGCCGCGGGGACCGCACGUCUGGAGUGGGGUAGGGGCGCGUGGAACUGUGGGUGGAGCGGUGAAAUGCGUUGAUAUCCACAGGAACUCCGGUGGCGAAGGCGGCGCGCUGGACCCUCACUGACGCUGAGGCGCGAAAGCCAGGGGAGCGAACGGGAUUAGAUACCCCGGUAGUCCUGGCCCUAAACGUUGGGGACUGGGUAGCAGGCCGGACAUGGGCUUGCUGCCGGAGCGAAAGUGUUAAGUCCCCCGCCUGGGGAGUAUGGUCGCAAGGCUG
rnacentral:rRNA from 1 species